UACGUAGGGUGCAAGCGUUGUCCGGAAUUAUUGGGCGUAAAGAGCUCGUAGGCGGUCUGUCGCGUCUGCUGUGAAAACCUGGGGCUUAACCCCGGGCCUGCAGUGGGUACGGGCAGACUAGAGUGUGGUAGGGGAGACUGGAAUUCCUGGUGUAGCGGUGAAAUGCGCAGAUAUCAGGAGGAACACCGGUGGCGAAGGCGGGUCUCUGGGCCAUAACUGACGCUGAGACACGAAAGCGUGGGUAGCAAACAGG
rnacentral:rRNA from 1 species